rnacentral:rRNA from 1 species
GCAAGUCGAGGGGUAACAGGGAUUGCUUGCAAUCCGCUGACGAGUGGCGAACGGGUGAGUAAUAUAUCGGAACGUACCCAAGAGUGGGGGAUAACGUAGCGAAAGUUACGCUAAUACCGCAUACGAUCUAAGGAUGAAAGCAGGGGACCUUCGGGCCUUGUGCUCCUGGAGCGGCCGAUAUCUGAUUAGCUAGUUGGUGAGGUAAAGGCUCACCAAGGCGACGAUCAGUAGCUGGUCUGAGAGGACGACC